UUUGGUUAAGUUAGAAAGGGCGCACGGUGGAUGCCUUGACACUAGGAGUCGAUGAAGGACGGGACUAACGCCGAUAUGCUUCGGGGAGCUGUAAGUAAGCUUUGAUCCGAAGAUUUCCGAAUGGGGAAACCCACCAUACGUAAUGGUAUGGUAUCCUUAUCUGAAUACAUAGGGUAAGGAAGACAGACCCAGGGAACUGAAACAUCUAAGUACCUGGAGGAAGAGAAAGCAAAUGCGAUUUCCUGAGUAGCGGCGAGCGAAACGGAACAUAGCCCAAACCAAGAGGCUUGCCUCUUGGGGUUGUAGGACAUUCUAUACGGAGUUACAAAGGAACGAGGUAGACGAAGCGACCUGGAAAGGUCCGUCGUAGAGGGUAACAACCCCGUAGUCGAAACUUCGUUCUCUCUUGAAUGUAUCCUGAGUACGGCGGAACACGUGAAAUUCCGUCGGAAUCUGGGAGGACCAUCUCCCAAGGCUAAAUACUCCCUAGUGAUCGAUAGUGAACCAGUACCGUGAGGGAAAGGUGAAAAGCACCCCGGAAGGGGAGUGAAAGAGAUCCUGAAACCGUGUGCCUACAAAUAGUCAGAGCCCGUUAACGGGUGAUGGCGUGCCUUUUGUAGAAUGAACCGGCGAGUUACGAUCCCGUGCGAGGUUAAGCUGAAGAGGCGGAGCCGCAGCGAAAGCGAGUCUGAAUAGGGCGUUUAGUACGUGGUCGUAGACCCGAAACCAGGUGAUCUACCCAUGUCCAGGGUGAAGUUCAGGUAACACUGAAUGGAGGCCCGAACCCACGCACGUUGAAAAGUGCGGGGAUGAGGUGUGGGUAGCGGAGAAAUUCCAAUCGAACCUGGAGAUAGCUGGUUCUCCCCGAAAUAGCUUUAGGGCUAGCCUUAAGUGUAAGAGUCUUGGAGGUAGAGCACUGAUUGGACUAGGGGUCCUCAUCGGAUUACCGAAUUCAGUCAAACUCCGAAUGCCAAUGACUUAUCCUUAGGAGUCAGACUGCGAGUGAUAAGAUCCGUAGUCAAAAGGGAAACAGCCCAGACCGCCAGCUAAGGUCCCAAAGUGUGUAUUAAGUGGAAAAGGAUGUGGAGUUGCUUAGACAACUAGGAUGUUGGCUUAGAAGCAGCCACCAUUUAAAGAAUGCGUAAUAGCUCACUAGUCGAGUGACUCUGCGCCGAAAAUGUACCGGGGCUAAAUACACCACCGAAGCUGCGGAUUGAUACCGAAUGGUAUCAGUGGUAGGGGAGCGUUCUAAGGACAGUGAAGUCAGACCGGAAGGACUGGUGGAGUGCUUAGAAGUGAGAAUGCCGGUAUGAGUAGCGAAAGACGGGUGAGAAUCCCGUCCACCGAAUGCCUAAGGUUUCCUGAGGAAGGCUCGUCCGCUCAGGGUUAGUCAGGACCUAAGCCGAGGCCGACAGGCGUAGGCGAUGGACAACAGGUUGAUAUUCCUGUACCACCUCUUUAUCGUUUGAGCAAUGGAGGGACGCAGAAGGAUAGAAGAAGCGUGCGAUUGGUUGUGCACGUCCAAGCAGUUAGGCUGAUAAGUAGGCAAAUCCGCUUAUCGUAAAGGCUGAGCUGUGAUGGGGAAGCUCCUUAUGGAGCGAAGUCUUUGAUUCCCCGCUGCCAAGAAAAGCUUCUAGCGAGAUAAAAGGUGCCUGUACCGCAAACCGACACAGGUAGGCGAGGAGAGAAUCCUAAGGUGUGCGAGAGAACUCUGGUUAAGGAACUCGGCAAAAUGACCCCGUAACUUCGGGAGAAGGGGUGCUUUCUUAACGGAAAGCCGCAGUGAAUAGGCCCAAGCGACUGUUUAGCAAAAACACAGCUCUCUGCGAAGCCGUAAGGCGAAGUAUAGGGGGUGACACCUGCCCGGUGCUGGAAGGUUAAGGAGAGGGGUUAGCGUAAGCGAAGCUCUGAACUGAAGCCCCAGUAAACGGCGGCCGUAACUAUAACGGUCCUAAGGUAGCGAAAUUCCUUGUCGGGUAAGUUCCGACCCGCACGAAAGGUGUAACGAUUUGGGCACUGUCUCAACCAGAGACUCGGUGAAAUUAUAGUACCUGUGAAGAUGCAGGUUACCCGCGACAGGACGGAAAGACCCCGUGGAGCUUUACUGUAGCCUGAUAUUGAAUUUUGGUACAGUUUGUACAGGAUAGGCGGGAGCCUUUGAAACCGGAGCGCUAGCUUCGGUGGAGGCGCUGGUGGGAUACCGCCCUGACUGUAUUGAAAUUCUAACCUACGGGUCUUAUCGACCCGGGAGACAGUGUCAGGUGGGCAGUUUGACUGGGGCGGUCGCCUCCUAAAGUGUAACGGAGGCGCCCAAAGGUUCCCUCAGAAUGGUUGGAAAUCAUUCGUAGAGUGCAAAGGCAUAAGGGAGCUUGACUGCGAGACCUACAAGUCGAGCAGGGACGAAAGUCGGGCUUAGUGAUCCGGUGGUUCCGCAUGGAAGGGCCAUCGCUCAACGGAUAAAAGCUACCCCGGGGAUAACAGGCUUAUCUCCCCCAAGAGUCCACAUCGACGGGGAGGUUUGGCACCUCGAUGUCGGCUCAUCGCAUCCUGGGGCUGUAGUCGGUCCCAAGGGUUGGGCUGUUCGCCCAUUAAAGCGGUACGCGAGCUGGGUUCAGAACGUCGUGAGACAGUUCGGUCCCUAUCCGUCGUGGGCGUAGGAAAUUUGAGAGGAGCUGUCCUUAGUACGAGAGGACCGGGAUGGACGCACCGCUGGUGUACCAGUUGUUCUGCCAAGGGCAUAGCUGGGUAGCUAUGUGCGGAAGGGAUAAGUGCUGAAAGCAUCUAAGCAUGAAGCCCCCCUCAAGAUGAGAUUUCCCAUAGCGUAAGCUAGUAAGAUCCCUGAAAGAUGAUCAGGUUGAUAGGUUCGAGGUGGAAGCAUGGUGACAUGUGGAGCUGACGAAUACUAAUAGAUCGAGGACUUAACCAUAUAA
rnacentral:rRNA from 1 species